rnacentral:misc_RNA from 1 species
CUACCAAGUAUAAUUUAUAUCAGUAUCAAAUGUAUACAAUCGCCACAGCAAUUUAACAGAAGGCCAAGGAACAAACACCAUGAAUUCUGCUAUAAUGCAAAACACAAAUUUAUUAGAAUAGAAACAGAGGUCUUGCAGUGACUUUGAAGGCCAUUGCUACACUGUAACUAGACUGAAAACCAAAAUACAAAAGCAACUGAAAAGAGUUCCAACAACUUAUUUGAAGCCAUUUAAUAAUGGCCAAUGACCACAAAACAGAACCACAGAACAAUCAACAAUUGUAAACAUAAUCCAAGACCCAAGGCUUAAAUAACAUAUCACAAGCUUAAAAGCCACCACGGAGGCGCAGGACAAGGUGCAGAGUGGACUCCUUCUGAAUGUUGUAAUCUGCAAGGGUACGUCCAUCCUCAAGCUGCUUCCCAGCAAAGAUAAGCCUCUGCUGGUCAGGUGGGAUGCCCUCCUUGUCCUGGAUUUUGGCCUUGACAUUAUCAAUGGUGUCAGAACUCUCCACCUCCAAGGUGAUGGUCUUUCCAGUCAAAGUCUUCACAAAAAUU